UACCACUUGUUGCCUCGGCGGAUCAGCCCGCUCCCGGUAAAACGGGACGGCCCGCCAGAGGACCCCUAAACUCUGUUUCUAUAUGUAACUUCUGAGUAAAACCAUAAAUAAAUCAAAACUUUCAACAACGGAUCUCUUGGUUCUGGCAUCGAUGAAGAACGCAGCAAAAUGCGAUAAGUAAUGUGAAUUGCAGAAUUCAGUGAAUCAUCGAAUCUUUGAACGCACAUUGCGCCCGCCAGUAUUCUGGCGGGCAUGCCUGUUCGAGCGUCAUUUCAACCCUCAAGCACAGCUUGGUGUUGGGACUCGCGUUAAUUCGCGUUCCCCAAAUUGAUUGGCGGUCACGUCGAGCUUCCAUAGCGUAGUAGUAAAACCCUCGUUACUGGUAAUCGUCGCGGCCACGCCGUUAAACCCCAACUUCUGAAUGUUGACCUCGGAUCAGGUAGGAAUACCCGCUGAACUUAAGCAUAUC
rnacentral:rRNA from 1 species